rnacentral:rRNA from 1 species
CCAAUAGCGUAUAUUAAAGUUGUUGCAGUUAAAAAGCUCGUAGUUGAAUUUCGGGAUCAAUAUGUCGGUCGUGCCUCGGUACGUACUGACAUCAUUGGUUUCUCCCUUCUGAUGAACCAUGAUGCCAUUAAUUUGGUGUCGUGGGGAAUCAGGACUGUUACUUUGAAAAAAUUAGAGUGUUUAGGGCAGGCUCACGCUUGAAUACAUUAGCAUGGAAUAAUGAAAUAGGACGUUUGAUUCUAUUUUGUUGGUUUCUAGGAUCGACGUAAUGAUUAAUAGGGAUAGUUGGGGGGCAUUAGUAUUCAAUUGUCAGAGGUGAAAUUCUUGGAUUUAUUGAAGACUAACUACUGCGAAGGCAUUUGCCAAGGAUGUUUUCAUUAAUCAAGAACGAAAGUUAGGGGAUCGAAGACGAUCAGAUACCGUCGUAGUCUUAACCAUAAACUAUGCCGACUAGGGAUCGGAUGAUGUUAAAUUUUUAAUGACUCAUUCGGCGCCUUACG